rnacentral:rRNA from 1 species
AGCAGCCGCGGUAAUUCCAGCUCCAAUAGCGUAUAUUAAAGUUGUUGCAGUUAAAAGCUCGUAGUUGAAUUUCGGGGUUAGUAGGUCGGUCGUGCCACAGGUACGUACUGGUCUCACUGAUUCCUCCUUCCUGAUGAACCGUAAUGCCAUUAAUUUGGUGUUGCGGGGAAACUGGACUGUUACUUUAGAAAAAUUAGAGUGUUUAAAGCAGGCUAACGCUUGAAUACAUUAGCAUGGAAUAAUGAAAUAGGACGUUCGAUCCUAUUUUGUUGGUUUCUAGGAUUGACGUAAUGAUUAAUAGGGAUAGUUGGGGGCAUUAGUAUUCAAUUGUCAGAGGUGAAAUUCUUGGAUUUAUUG